GAGUUGUAAUCUGGAGAAGCGUUUUCCGUGUCGGACCGUGYACAAGUCUCUUGGAACAGAGCGUCAUAGAGGGUGAGAAUCCCGUUUUAUGGCACGGACACCCGAUACUUUGUGAUACGUUUUCUAAGAGUCGAGUUGUUUGGGAAUGCAGCUCAAAAUGGGUGGUAAAUUCCAUCUAAAGCUAAAUAUAGGCGAGAGACCGAUAGCGAACAAGUACCGUGAGGGAAAGAUGAAAAGCACUUUGGAAAGAGAGUUAAACAGUACGUGAAAUUGUUGAAAGGGAAACGCUUGAAGUCAGUCGCGUCUUCUAGGACUCAGCCUUACUUCGGUUAGGUGUACUUCCUGGUUUGACGGGUCAACAUCGAUUUUGAUCGACGGAUAAAGGAGAAGGGAACGUGGCACCUCCGGGUGUGUUAUAGCCCUCUUCGUAUACGUCGAUUGGGAUCGAGGACUGCAGCACGCCCUUGUGGCCGGGGGUUCGCCCUACGUAUCGUGCUUAGGAUGUUGACAUAAUGGCUUUAAGCGACCCGUCUUGAAACACGGACCAAGGAGUCUAACAUGCUCGCGAGUGUUAGGGUGGAAAACCCUUGCGCGUAAUGAAAGUGAAAGUUGGGACCUCUGCGAGGAGGGCACCGACGCCCGGCCCUGAAGUUCUCUGACGGUGCUGCGGUAGAGCGCGUAUGUUGGGACCCGAAAGAUGGUGAACUAUGCCUGAUAGGGCGAAGCCAGAGGAAACUC
rnacentral:rRNA from 1 species